AUGCUGGAUAAAUACUCCUUGAAGAAACAUCCAUUCUUAACGCAGAUAUAUGAGAUCAGGCAUAAAUGGGCAAAGCCAUAUUUCAGAGGGGUGUUCUGUGCCAGGAUGACAAGCACUCAACGGAGCGAGAGCGCCAACCAUCUGUUGAAAGGUUACAUGCCGCGAGGGUGCCCAAUGCAUCUGUUUCUUAAGCAGUUCCAGAAACUGCAAUUUAACAGAGAGGCGGAGGAGAGUUUCCAGGAGAAGAGGACAUCCCUGGUGAGUGUGUUGGGUUUUUUUUCAACAUCAUUAUGGUUCUUCCGUUGCUACCUGGACAUGAUAAUCACCUUUUUGCUUGUGGUUCAGAUCGCAGAGCGGUGUGUGCCUUAG
rnacentral:rRNA from 1 species